GAAUACUACAUAGAAAUCAGGAGUACAUUUAUUCAAUGAAAAAAUGAGGCGGUUAGCCUCGCACGUGAAUGGGGAGAAACAUUGCUAUAACACUUGGUCGAACCUCGUUUGUCUGUCUGUGCUCGACUUUCGUGUUGGUUCUUUAGGUAGUUUUGCCGCAUUCGUCUUGGGAGAAAACAUUUUUGUCCUGAAACGGUAUCAAAAAAAUAAAGAAACAUUAUCUGUUAUUAUAGAUCAUUGAAAACGUUCUUAUAAUAAUCCAGAUAGACACAGGCACACAGAAAGGCGGGCGGACGGGCAUACAGAUGGACGGAAAGGCGGGCGGACGGGCAUACAGAUGGACGGAAAGGCGGACGGACGGAUAUAAAGAUGGGCGGAAUAGCGGACGGACGGACAGGCGGUCACUAUGGAAGGAUGGGUGUUCCCUUUACCUUGGCACGUCGAUGUACCCGGAUGAUUUCACUUUGGAUUUAAAGAUUUCCCGGCAGGUGGCUUUAGAACCAGCUCGGCUUUGAGCGGCGAGUUUGCGCAAAGAGGCGCACUGUAAAAUUAUGCCAAACAACAAUCAUUAGAACGACCCGCUACUCAUUGGAUACGAAACCUUUUUCUACCUUUUCCUAUAAUGUUUUCUUUAUUCUAUUAAUUUUUGGCGGUACUCUAUGUCAAACUCAUAACCCCAUCCUCCCUCAGAACUACCAUCCCUUCAACCACCCCCGUCCCAAACUUCCGCCCUGUAUAUAUGAAGGCAAAUAAAACAUGAAAUAACUG